CACGUAGGGCGCAAGCGUUGUCCGGAAUUAUUGGGCGUAAAGCGCUCGCAGGUGGUUCGUUGCGUCGUGCGUGAAAGACCCCGGCUCAACUGGGGAGUGUCGUGCGAUACGGGCGAACUGGAGGCCAGUAGGGGGAUGCGGAAUUCCGGGUGUAGUGGUGGAAUGCGUAGAGAUCCGGAGGAACACCAGCGGCGAAGGCGGCAUCCUGGACUGGUCCUGACACUCAGGAGCGAAAGCGUGGGGAGCGAUCCGG
rnacentral:rRNA from 1 species